rnacentral:misc_RNA from 1 species
UUCCCAACACUAAUGCAUAUGUCGUUUCUAAAAAAUGGUCAUAGUCUUCUGGUCUUCCAGACACUGCAUCCAAAUGUGCCCAUAACAUCUUCAGUUGUCUAUUGGUCAAGAAAACCAUACUUUCCUGCUAUAAAUCUCCUCUAUAAGGCUCUAUGUUCGGUACAAAAUCUCCAUAGCCAUUUUUGGAGCAGAAAACUAUUAUGGAGACUUAGG